AGAGUUUGAUCCUGGCUCAGGAUGAACGCUAGCGGGAGGCCUAACACAUGCAAGUCGAACGGGAAGGGCAGCAAUGCCCCGAGAGUGGCGCACGGGUGAGUAACGCGUAUGCAACCUGCCUUUAACUGAGGGAUAGCCCAUAGAAAUGUGGAUUAAUACCUCAUAGUUCUUUUGUCCUGCAUGGGAUAGAAGAUAAAGCUCCGGCGGUUAAAGAUGGGCAUGCGUGACAUUAGCUAGUUGGUGAGGUAACGGCUCACCAAGGCGACGAUGUCUAGGGGUUCUGAGAGGAUGAUCCCCCACACUGGUACUGAGACACGGACCAGACUCCUACGGGAGGCAGCAGUGAGGAAUAUUGGUCAAUGGGCGCAAGCCUGAACCAGCCAUCCCGCGUGCAGGAUGACGGCCCUAUGGGUUGUAAACUGCUUUUGUACACCAAGAAAACUCCCGACGUGUCGGGAUCUGACGGUAGUGUAUGAAUAAGCAUCGGCUAACUCCGUGCCAGCAGCCGCGGUAAUACGGAGGAUGCAAGCGUUAUCCGGAUUCAUUGGGUUUAAAGGGUGCGUAGGCGGCCUUUUAAGUCAGUGGUGAAAUCCUGCCGCUUAACGGUAGAAUUGCCAUUGAUACCGAAAGGCUUGAGUUCAGUUGAGGUAAGCGGAAUGUGUAGUGUAGCGGUGAAAUGCUUAGAUAUUACACAGAACACCAAUUGCGAAGGCAGCUUACUAAACUGACACUGACGCUGAUGCACGAAAGCGUGGGGAGCGAACAGGAUUAGAUACCCUGGUAGUCCACGCCGUAAACGAUGUUCACUCGCUGUUUGCGAUAUAUAGCAAGCGGCCAAGCGAAAGCAUUAAGUGAACCACCUGGGGAGUACGAUCGCAAGGUUGAAACUCAAAUGAAUUGGACGGAAUCU
rnacentral:rRNA from 1 species